rnacentral:rRNA from 1 species
UAAAGAAAGUAAGAAAGGGCGUAUGGCGGAUGCCUAGGCUCACGGAGGCGAUGAAGGACGUGAUAAGCUGCGAUAAGCUUCGGGUAGGUGCAAAUAACCCUUGAUCCGAAGAUUUCCGAAUGGGACAACCUAGCCGUCUGAAGGACGGUUACUCUUACCAAUGUAAGAGAGCUAACGCAGGGAACUGAAACAUCUUAGUACCUGCAGGAAGAGAAAAUAAAUGAAUGAUUCCCCCAGUAGUGGCGAGCGAACGGGGAACAGCCCAAACCAGUGGCGUCGCAAGGCGUGGCUGGGGUUGUAGGACCGUGACAUUGUAUGCAAAUCGUGAACAGAACACUUUGGAAAAUGUGACCAUAGACGGUGAUAGUCCAGUAUGUGAAGCGAAAUGCAGCAUAGCGGUAUCCUGAGUAACGCGGGACACGAGGAAUCCUGCGCGAAUCUGCCGGGACCAUCCGGUAAGGCUAAAUACUCCCGUGAGACCGAUAGCGAACGAGUACUGUGAAGGAAAGGUGAAAAGAACCCCGAGCAGGGGAGUGAAAUAGUUCCUGAAACCAUACGCCUACAAGCGGUCGGAGCAUUGCAAGAUGUGACGGCGUGCCUUUUGCAUAAUGAUCCUACGAGUUACCGUCACUGGCGAGGUUGAGUGUCAUGAGACACGUAGCCGCAGUGAAAGCGAGCCUGAAUAGGGCGCACAGUCAGUGGGGGUAGACGCGAAACCAAGUGAUCUACACUUGGCCAGGAUGAAGUCCCGGUAACACGGGAUGGAGGUCCGCACCAAUAAGCGUUGAAAAGCUUCUGGAUGAGCCGAGUGUAGGAGUGAAAGGCCAAUCAAACUUGGAGAUAGCUCGUACUCCCCGAAAGGCAUUUAGGUGCCGCGUCGGAUGGUCACCGUGAGAGGUAGAGCGACCGAUAGGACAAGAGGGCUUCACCGCCUAUCGAGUCCUGACGAACUCCGAAUGCUCACGGUCUGCAGUCCGGCAGUAAGGGGGCGGGUGCUAAGGUCCGUCCCCGAGAGGAGAAGAAUCCAGACCGCCGUCUAAGGUCCCGGAGUUCUGCCUGAGUUAGUCUAACGAAGUCUGGUCCCUAUGACAGCUAGGAUGUUGGCUUGGAAGCAGCCAUUCAUUCAAAGAGUGCGUAACAGCUCACUAGUCGAGGGUCCGGGCAUGGAUAAUAAUCGGGUAUAAGGCAGACACCGAAGGCGCGGGAUAGCAAUUAUAAAAGUAUCGGUAGGGGAGCAUACUCACAGCGUCGAAUGGUGUACGUAAGUUAUCCUGGAGCGGUGAGUAAAGCAAAUGUAGGAAUAAGUAACGAUAAGGAGGGUUAGAUUCCCUCCCGCUGUAAGACCAAGGUUUCCCGGGCAAUGCCAAUCAGCCCGGGGUCAGUCGGGUCCUAAGUCUAAGCCGAACGGCGAUGGCGAUGGCAGAGACGGUUAAUAUUCCGUCACUGCCGCAUGGGGCGACGUGGAGACGGAGCAGUGAAACCACCGCGGGGCGACGGAAGUCCCCGUUGAAGGGUGUAGGUGUUGAGGAGAGCAGGCAAAUCCACUCUCCGAGCUGAACCUGACAGUACGGAGUCCUCCUCGGAGGAAUCUGAUAGUGUGGGUAAUCAUACUCCCGAGAAAAUCCGCUAAGCUUAACCCAUGCGGCACCCGUACCGCAAACGGACACACGUGGUCGGGUAGAACAUACUAAGGCGUUGAGAGAUUCAUGGUUAAGGAACUAGGCAAAUUGACCCUGUAACUUCGGGAUAAAGGGUCCUCGUGAUGAGCGAGGCGCAGAGAAUAGGUCCAGGCAACUGUUUAACAAAAACACAGGGCUGUGCAAACUCGAAAGAUGACGUAUACAGCCUGACACCUGCCCGGUGCCGGAAGGUUAAGAGGAGAUGUCACUCGCAAGAGGAAGCAUUGAAUUGAAGCCCCGGUAAACGGCGGCCGUAACUAUAACGGUCCUAAGGUAGCGAAAUUCCUUGUCGGGUAAGUUCCGACCUGCACGAAUGGUGUAAUGAUCCGGACGCUGUCUCAACCAUGAGCUCAGUGAAAUUGUAGUAUCGGUGAAGAUGCCGAUUACCCGCGAUGGGACGAAAAGACCCCGUGAACCUUUACUACAGCUUAGCAUUGACCUUGGUCAUCCGAUGUGUAGGAUAGGCCGGAGGCUUUGAAGCGGGAGCGCCAGCUUUCGUGGAGCCAUCCUUGAAAUACGGCCCUUUGGCUGUCUGAGGUCUAACGCGUGAUUACGCGGACACUGCUUGGUGGGUAGUUUGACUGGGGUGGUCGCCUCCAAAAGCGUAACGGAGGCUUCCAAAGGUGCCCUCGGGUCGAUUGGUAACCGACCUCAAAGAGUGCAAUGGCAUAAGGGCGCUUGACUGGGAGGCAGACAUGCCGAGCAGGCAGGAAACUGGGGCAUAGUGAUCCGGCGGAUGUGUAUGGAAACUCCGUCGCUCAAAGGAUAAAAGGUACUCCGGGGAUAACAGGCUGAUCCCCCCCAAGAGCUCAUAUCGACGGGGUGGUUUGGCACCUCGAUGUCGGCUCGUCACAUCCUGGGGCUGGAGAAGGUCCCAAGGGUUGGGCUGUUCGCCCAUUAAAGUGGCACGCGAGCUGGGUUCAGAACGUCGUGAGACAGUUCGGUCUCUAUCUAUCGUGGGCGUGGGAGUUUUGAGUGGUGCCGUCACUAGUACGAGAGGACCGUGAUGGACAGACCUCCGGUUUACCAGUUGUGCCGCCAGGCGCACCGCUGGGUAUCUGAGUCUGGAUUGGAUAAGCGCUGAAAGCAUCUAAGUGCGAAGCCAGCCGCAAGAUGAGAACUCCAUUGAGGGUCGUCAAAGACGAUGACGUUGAUAGGAUGCAGGUGUAAAGACAGCGAUGUCAAAGCCGAGCAUUACUAAUUGCCCGAACACUUUCUUUAG